ACGGCUGGAUAAGAACAAGAUAACCACUAUUUCAGACAACGCCUUUAAUGGAAUUCCAAAUUUACAAGAACUACGGCUGGAUAGCAACAAGAUAACCACCAUUUCAGACAACGCCUUUAAUGGAAUGCCAAAUUUACAAGAACUAAAUCUAUAUUCCAACAAGAUAACCACCAAUUCAGACAACGCUUUGAAUGGAAUGCCAAAUUUACAAGAA